rnacentral:rRNA from 1 species
AGGUUACUGCUAUCGAGGUUCGACUAAGCCAUGCGAGUCGAAUGUAGCAAUACAUGGCGUACUGCUCAGUAACACGUGGACAACCUACCCUUAGGACGGGGAUAAACCCGGGAAACUGGGUAUAAUACCCGAUAGUCCUCGAAUGCUGGAAUGCAUCGCGGACUAAAGCUCCGGCGCCUAAGGAUGGGUCUGCGGCCUAUCAGGUAGUAGUGGGUGUAGCGUACCUACUAGCCAACGACGGGUACGGGUUGUGAGAGCAAGAGCCCGGAGAUGGAUUCUGAGACACGAAUCCAGGCCCUACGGGGUGCAGCAGGCGCGAAAACUUUACAAUGCUGGAAACAGCGAUAAGGGGACCUCGAGUGCCAGGUUACAAAUCUGGCUGUCGUGAUGCCUAAAAAGCAUCGCAUAGCAAGGGCCGGGCAAGACCGGUGCCAGCCGCCGCGGUAACACCGGCGGCUCGAGUGGUAACCGUUAUUAUUGGGUCUAAAGGGUCCGUAGCCGGCCGGAUAAGUCUCUUGGGAAAUCUGGCAGCUUAACUGUCAGGCUUUCAGGAGAUACUGUCUGGCUCGAGGCCGGGAGAGGUGAGAGGUACUUCAGGGGUAGGGGUGAAAUCUUGUAAUCCUUGAAGGACCACCAGUGGCGAAGGCGUCUCACCAGAACGGACCUGACGGCAAGGGACGAAAGCUAGGGGCACGAACCGGAUUAGAUACCCGGGUAGUCCUAGCCGUAAACGAUACUCGCUAGGUGUCGGCCACGGUGCGACCGUUGUCGGUGCCGUAGGGAAGCCGUCAAGCGAGCCACCUGGGAAGUACGGCCGCAAGGCUGAAACUUAA